UACGAGGGCCCCAAGCGUUAUCCGGAAUUACUGGGCGUAAAGAGUGUGUAGGUGGUGUAAGUUAGUCUCGCGUUAAAAGCCCAAGCUCAACUUGGGUCUUGCGCGGGAAACGGCUUCACUAGAGGACAGGAGAGGUGAGCGGAACUCACGGUGUAGGGGUGAAAUCCGUUGAUAUCGUGGGGAACACCAAAGGGGAAGCCAGCUCACUGGCCUGUUCCUGACACUGAGACACGAAACCCUGGGUAGCGAAAGGG
rnacentral:misc_RNA from 1 species